rnacentral:lncRNA from 1 species
UUACUCUGUUGCCCCGGCUGGAGUGCAGUGGCAUAAUCUUGGUUCACUGCAACCUCCACUUUCUGGGUUCGGGCAAUUCUUACGUCUCAGUCUCCUAAGCAACUGGGGUUACAGGCACGCACCACUACACCUGGCUAAUUUUUGUAUUAUUAGUAGAGAUGCGGUUUUGCUAUGUUUGUCAGGCUUGGUCUUGAACUCAUGACCUCAAGUGAUCUGCCUGCCUCGGCCUCCUGAAAUGCUAGGAUUAUGUGUGUGUGACCGCACCUGGCCUAAAUUAAUUUUUGUUGGGGAUUUCCCUGCAGGACCACUGCACAUCGUUCGGGGUCAACCUUUCAGACACUCCCACAAGGUCCCCAGUCACUCAGGGGCACCUUUCAGUUGGGAGGGGCAAAUGCCCUUUCUUUUUGGAGCUGAGAAAACUCAGUCUCUGAUAUACCUAUGAAAGCAACAGUUCAGUUCCUCAUGCAAAUGCACACAGACAAACGGAAUUGAGAUUAAUGUUGGGAGAAAAAGCAAUAUAAAGGAUCCUUCAGAACGGAUCUCCAAACUAGAAUUAGGAUUUUUUUUUUUUUUUGAGAUGGAGUCUCGCUCUGUCGCCCAGGCUGAGUGCAGUGGCACGAUCUCGGCACAGUGCAACUUCCACCUCCCUGGUUCAAGCAAUUGCCCUACCUCAGCCUUCGAAUAGCUGGGAUUACAGGUGCACACCACCAGGCCCGGCUAAUCUUGAACUUGUGGGGUCAAGUGGUCCGCCCGCCUCAGCCUCCCAAAGUGCUGGGAUUACAGGUGUGAACCACCGCACCUGGCCUAGAAUUAGGAUUCUUAAACAACGACUUCCUAGGAGAGAAAAUUAAAAAAAAAAAAAAAAAAAAAAAAGGAAACAGCCAAAACCACUUCCUAUAAACUGUGCUCAGCCACCCGUAACUUUGUAGCUCUUUUCCAACAAUAUACACACCAAGGUCAAAUCCUCUCACAGUGCAAGGUCAUCUCUGGCACCCAAAGCCAAAAAGGUCAGGUCAUGCAAUACAGGAAAACAGAGCUUUAGACCUAAGAAGAAUCUGCCCAUGACUCUUGAAAUCCCACAAAGCCAAGAGAACACCCCAAAAGGGGGUGAGUGGCACCUUUGU